rnacentral:rRNA from 1 species
UACGUAGGGGGCGAGCGUUGUCCGGAAUUAUUGGGCGUAAAGAGCUCGUAGGCGGCUUGGCAAGUCGGAUGUGAAAACUCCAGGCUCAACCUGGAGCCGCCAUUCGAUACUGCUAUGGCUAGAGUCCGGUAGGGGAGUGUGGAAUUCCCGGUGUAGCGGUGAAAUGCGCAGAUAUCGGGAGGAACACCGAUGGCGAAGGCAGCACUCUGGGCCGGCACUGACGCUGAGGAGCGAAAGCGUGGGGAGCGAACAGGA